UUUCUACUCCCUCCGUCCGAAAAUACUUGUCAUCAAAAUGGAUAAAAAGAGAUGUAUCUAAAACUAAAAUACGUCUAGAUACAUUUCCUUUUAUCCAUUUUGAUGACAAGUAUUUCUGUACGAAGGGAGUAUUUG
rfam:Triticum aestivum genome assembly, contig: Triticum_aestivum_CS42_TGACv1_scaffold_093391_2AL